rnacentral:sRNA from 1 species
AGUGACGAGCCUCUUGACAAACGGGGAUUAUUAGAAGAAAGAAUGAAUUUAAGUCGUCUAAAACUUGCUAUCAAAUAUAACCAAAAAGAGUUUGUCUCCCAGUCUAACUGCCAGCAGUUCCUGAACACUGUUUGGUUUGGACAGAUGUCAGGUUACCGACGCAAGCCCACCUGUAAGAAGAUAAUGACUGUUUUGACAGUAGGCAUCUUUUGGCCAGUUUUGUCACUUUGUUAUUUGAUAGCUCCCAAAUCUCAGUUUGGCAGAAUCAUUCACACACCUUUUAUGAAAUUUAUCAUUCAUGGAGCAUCAUAUUUCACAUUCCUGCUUUUGCUUAAUCUAUACUCUCUUGUCUACAAUGAGGAUAAGAAAAACACAAUGGGGCCAGCCCUUGAAAGAAUAGACUAUCUUCUUAUUCUGUGGAUUAUUGGUAAGUAUCAAGUUAGUUUGAAAGGUUUUGUCUUUAUUUAGCCCACUAAUUCCUUCUUGAUUGAUGGCAUUGUGAAUAUUGGGUUCAAUUUGCAAUUUUACACUGUUCACACCACAAGAAUUUGAACACUUCCAUGAUCACUGAAGACUUAACUAACAUGUCUGUAAAGAUAAAUGUUCCUGAACUUGAUGAUAAGGAAGCAUAUCUCUUAUUUAAUAUUUCUUAAAUACAUGGAAUUUUAAAAUUA